UUCUGCUCCCACGUCAACUGCCCAGAGGGCUGACAGGCCUGGGUCUGAGCCUGGCUGCCAGGAGAGCCCAGGGGGAGGGGGCUCCUUCCAGGGCCUGGAGACCCAGAGAAUGUAGAGGCGGGGCAGGGCAGAAUUGAGCGUGUGGGCCCACCGGGUGCUGUGUCCUGAGCCCAGCCUGUCUGGGCGGCCCUCUCUCACCCUGGGGCGCCCAGGCCCACACUGUCCCUGAGCAAGUGUGGGGGUCCUGACCAUGGGUGCUGAGACAGUUCAGAGGCCCUGGGCACUGCCGGAGGCAGCAGGCAGCCGUCCUUCUCUGCGGUCCCCAGCGGGUGGGGCCAUUGCCCAGGUUUCUCCCCGCUGACCUCUGGGGCUACUUUUCUGACCUCACCCCAAUCUCUCUCCUCCCUAGAAGCACAUUCCUCCCCCAGAAAACUGAAACCAGAGCUGCAAAAGUAGAGAGACAGCACAGGCAGGCCAGCAUGAGGACGAUGACGGCGAAGAGCCCGGAGAAAGACACAGCCACCACGGCGAGGGAGGAUGGCCAGGACAGCUCGCUGAGCGGGGCGCCGUCUGCGGGAGAGCAGUGUGGUGAGAGUGGCCAUGGCUGAGGGCCGGCCAGGCCCCUGCCCCUGCUCUGGGCUCCACAGCCCCACCUGGACUUGCUGCAUUCCAGGCUGGGCCUCAGCACCCUGACCUCUCACCCCAGACCCCACACCUCACAGUGUGGCGAGGAGGUGGCCAGAGCCUGCAGUCCUGCAGCCAGCCACUGGACACCACCCUGGCUUCGCCAGGGGGACAUAGGGUUGGCAGAGUGACCAGAGCCUGCCCAGUUCCCAAUUCUGGGGUUCAGAUACCCCUGAGAGGUCAGGGUCUCAGGGGCUACAGGGGGACCCCCAUCUCCCUCCCAGAUCCCAGUCACCCCACCUUGCCCCUCUGGGGCUGGGAAGGGAACAUGGACUCUGUCAAACACGGGAGACCAUGUUGCUGGCUGCUAUCUGCUGGCCACACACCAGGCUCUGGACAGCGGGGGCUCAAGGCCCUUCCAGCCUCUGAGGUGCGGGGACCUCACUGUCCCUGAGAAGGUGGUGCUGCCUCUGCCAGGCAGCAGGGCUCCCGUGUGCCACCUGCUGCCUCGAAUCCGUCCCCUUGCCAAACCCACUGCCAGGCCCCUCUGGUGCUGCUUCUGUCCUGGGAACCAUGGGGAAACCCCGUUCUGCAGCUGCUGGUCCAUGGAGCCCCUCAUCCCAGAGGGGAACUGACAGUACAGCAUCCCUCCCAACUUCGGAGUAUUGAGCUGAGCCCGGCUUCCAAAUCAGGACACCUGAGCUGAGCCAGGCUUUGAGGAAGCUCGGUCCAUCUGCUGCCCACAGGAUGGCAUGGUGGGGGCCAGCCUUGGUGUCCCCUGGGCAGGGGAGGGCACACUGACCCGCUGGCUCUAUCCCCUGGGCCUGCCCCGUCCCACCGCACCCAGCUCCAAUCCAUGCCCUUCCCUAGGAGCUUUCUGUCCGGCUGCCCUCCACUUGGCCCUGGAGAUUUUCCGGCCACCCCCAGUGCCUUUUGCCACUGAGCACCUGCAACUUCUCAGCUCCCAACACCCCUCAACACCCCAUCUCCUGGCCCAGCACACCCCCAAAGGUGUUGUCAUCUCUACCCCACUGGACGAGCCAAGAAACAGGGUCUCCAGGUUGUUCCCCACACACGAGGAAGAGGGAACCAGGACGGCUUGGAGUGAGGACCAGACAGGGCCGUGGGGACAAGGAGGCAGGGGGCGGCCAGCAAAGCAAGACCUGGGUCACCGGGGAAGGAAACCAGCUCUGCCGCAUGUGGAGACGAGCCAACGGGAACACAGGCAGGGGCUCACGAGGCACUCAACAGGCCCCGCCCUCCAAAGCAGCCAGCGCUCUUCGGAACUGCAAGUUGCCAUGGUGCCCAUCUCCCAGGCUCCAUCUGGUGCCCGCCUGGCAUCAGUCCACACCCCUCUAACACCUUCGCCCAUGCCCUCCUGGCCCCUCUCCUGGCGGGCCCUUCCCUCAUGGGACACACUGGAUGAGUGAAGGAACCUAUCUGUGGCCUUUUGGGGCCAGGAUCUGGCCUCCUGUCCUCAGAGCCAGCAGAGCCCUGGGGCUGGACAGGCCACCUGCUGGGCAAAGAGCAGCCCCAGGAGGCCCGACCUCAGCCUCCCCCUCAACCUCCCCUUCGGAACCAACCUCGGCCACCCUGGGCUCCCCUCCCAUGGCCCCAUCCCUUCCCUGGUCCUCCCCCGAAUGGAGGCAGCUGGCCUCAGCCUUCCCACCUCCAGGACCCCACCUCAGCUACCCUGGGCUCCCCCCAGCAGGACGCCAUCCCAUGCCUGGUCCUUCCCCGCACUGAGGCAGCUGGCCCUGGGGCACAGCCCUGCUGUGAGUUCCCCCUCCCCUCUAGAAGGCCCAGGUCCCAGUGCUGGGCGGCCAUGGGGGGUCAUUCAGCACCACGUGCUGACUCAGUGGAGGGCAGAGGUGGGCAGGGGCACCAGGCAGGCCUGCCCAUGAGCACAAGGUUGUGUCCCUGAAGGUGGAUGUGUAGGGGUGGGGGACUGUCCACACAAGCCAGCCAGAGCCAGAGGGUUGCAAGGAGAGACGGCACACCUAGGCUUUCAAAUCCACAGAAGCGGUCAGUUUCUGGAGCCCCUACCAGUGCCCAGAGCAGCAGAAACCACAGCGGUUCCCAUCUGAGGGUCAGAGCGGCUGUCCGAAGCUCCAGAGACCCUCCCUCAUCAGAAUCACUACCACCCUUGCCGGGCGCGGUGGCUCAUGCCUGUAAUCUCAGCACUUUGGGAGGCCAAGGCAGGUGGAUCACUUGAGGUCAGGAGUUCGAGACCAGCCUGGCCAACACAGCGAAACCCCAUCUCUACUAAAAAUAAAAAAAUUAGCUGGG